AAGCCCGAAUGUAUGAUCCUGGCUCAAAGUAAACGCAGUAUCUAGACCUAACACAUGUUGGUGAAGAGAUUAGAAGAUCAAUUUGCGGAGAGGUGAGUAAGAAAGAAAUUUACCCUUUAACCCUCAUAGAAGGUUAUUAUAAAGUAAAGGAUAAUUAAUUUUGAAGAUUAGAUAAAAGAUGAAAAUCUUGUCGAUAAUCUUUAGCAUAACGCCACAAUAACUCAAAAGUUGAGAGUUAUCCCAUGGCAGCAGUGAGGAAUAUUAGGCAAUCGGUGAAAACUGGACCUAGUCUAGAUAAGGCAAGGCAUAUAUAGCUAAGCCCUAAUCUAUCGCAAUUCGUGAUAAUGCAGCACUCACACACAACACAGCAGGGUAUCAUUGAAUCAAUAAAAUGAAUAUUUAGAUUAGAAAUUCUGGCGAAAUCUGUGCCAGCAGCCGCGGUAACACAGAUAGAAUAGCGUUACUAUUUAAUUAAUAGGCAUGAAGCGUAUUUAGAUGGUUAAAAAACUAGAGUAAUAAAGGAGUAAUAGGAAUAAUCGGUGUAGAGAUGAAAUGUGUAAAUAUCGAUUGGAACUACAAAGGCGACGGCAUAUUGCUAUUUAUUACUGACAUUUCAAUACUAAAGUAUGGGCAGUAACGAGGAUUAGAGACCCUUUUAAUCCAUACCCUAAAUACUGAAUGAGAAUCAAAUUAUAAAUAUCAUUCCGCCUGGAUAGUAGGAUGGCAACAUUGAAACCCAAUGGAAUAGACGGGUCUUGAGAUAAGCCGUGAAGCAUGUGGUUUAAUUGGAUGAUCCCCCUUUAAUCUUACCUUUUCUUUUAAAUGGUGUUGCAUGGCUGUUGAUUAGCUUUUGAAGUAAUUUUUAAAAAGCAAUUCACCUCAUAGGAGGUUUCACUUCAAGUACGCAUGGCCCAAUGAAAAGGGCUACACACAUGCCACAAUUUCUAAUCCAAUUUCGAAAAUUAGAAGAAGUACAGAUUUUUAACUGAAACUCGUUAAAAUGAAGCUGGAAUGGCUAGUAAUCGUGUAAUAGUAAGAUACGGUGAAUAAUUAAAUCAAGAUUGUACUAACCGCCCGUCAAGGCAAUCUAGAUAUAUAAAGAAGCAAUAGAAAUUCGAAUAUUCUGGUUUGAUUUAUCAAUUUGAAAUUGAAUUUAAUUCUCAUGUAUAUCAAGAAGGUUUAAGUCGUAACAAGGUCACCGUACUGGAAGGUGUGGUGUAAACCGUAACAGG
rnacentral:rRNA from 1 species